AGAGUUUGAUCAUGGCUCAGAGUGAACGCUGGCGGUAGGCCUAACACAUGCAAGUCGAACGGCAGCACAGGAGAGCUUGCUCUCUGGGUGGCGAGUGGCGGACGGGUGAGGAAUACAUCGGAAUCUACUCUGUCGUGGGGGAUAACGUAGGGAAACUUACGCUAAUACCGCAUACGACCUACGGGUGAAAGUGGGGGACCGCAAGGCCUCACGCGAUAGAAUGAGCCGAUGUCGGAUUAGCUAGUUGGCGGGGUAAAGGCCCACCAAGGCGACGAUCCGUAGCUGGUCUGAGAGGAUGAUCAGCCACACUGGAACUGAGACACGGUCCAGACUCCUACGGGAGGCAGCAGUGGGGAAUAUUGGACAAUGGGCGCAAGCCUGAUCCAGCCAUACCGCGUGAGUGAAGAAGGCCCUCGGGUUGUAAAGCUCUUUUGUUGGGAAAGAAAUCCUGUUGGCUAAUACCCGGCAGGGAUGACGGUACCCAAAGAAUAAGCACCGGCUAACUUCGUGCCAGCAGCCGCGGUAAUACGAAGGGUGCAAGCGUUACUCGGAAUUACUGGGCGUAAAGCGUGCGUAGGUGGUGGUUUAAGUCUGUUGUGAAAGCCCUGGGCUCAACCUGGGAAUUGCAGUGGAUACUGGAUCACUAGAGUGUGGUAGAGGGUGGCGGAAUUCCCGGUGUAGCAGUGAAAUGCGUAGAGAUCGGGAGGAACAUCCGUGGC
rnacentral:rRNA from 1 species